GCAGAACCGUGAAGCCGCGAAGCGGUUUUCCUACUAGAAGCCUCGCUGGGCGGCUGGCGCGCUCGCCGCUUCUUGUGACUGGCAGGCGCUUUCGUUUGUAUUAAGAAUACAAGACGAGAAUCGGAAGAAGGGCGUGAACAACAGCUUGGUACGUGUGACCGAUGCCGACACAGAAGCUGGAUGAAGUAGGCUCGCUGAAUGGAUGGAUAAGCGGUCGGCUCGUCCCGACGGAGAACUGAUGCCCAGUACACGCUGAUGAAAUACCAGAUGGGUCGCAUGUGCCUGAGGUGGUCAUACAAGGAACUUGUGUGAACCUCCGCAACACCAUUUUGCUUCUGCUUGCAGUUGUAUCAGGAGGUGACAGUCAUUUAAAAAAAGAACUCAGAUCAGAAUGAGGAACACCUCGAGCAGAACACACGACCACUGAG